rnacentral:rRNA from 1 species
UACGUAGGUGGUUGCGUGUGUCGGAUGGGAAAUCCCACAGCUCAACUGUGGAACUGCAUCCGAAACUGCGGGACUUGAGUGCAGGAGGGGAGAGCGGAAUUCUUGGUGUAGCGGUGAAAUGCGUUGAUAUCAAGAAGAACACCGGCGGCGAAGGCGGCUCUCUGGAAUGUUACUGACACUGAGGUACGAAAGCUGGGGGAGCGAACAGGAUUAGAUACCCUGGUAGUCC